rnacentral:rRNA from 1 species
GAUUAUGGCUCAGAACGAACGCUGGCGGCGCGCUUAAGCAUGCAAGUCGAACGGCAAGAGGUAGCAAUACCUCCUAGAGUGGCGGACUGGUGAGUAACACGUGGGUGACAUACCCUUCAGAUGGGGAUAGCUAUUAGAAAUAGUAGAUAAUACCGAAUACGAGCACAGGGGUUAGAGAUCUGUGAGGAAAGGAGCUAAGGCUCCGCUGAAGGAAUGGCCUGCGGCCCAUUAGCUAGUUGGUGAGGUAAGAGCCCACCAAGGCGAUGAUGGGUAUCCGGCCUUAGAGGGUGAACGGACACAUUGGGACUGAGAUACGGCCCAGACUCCUACGGGAGGCAGCAGCUAAGAAUAUUCCGCAAUGGACGAAAGUCUGACGGAGCGACGCCGCGUGGAUGAAGAAGGCCGGAAGGUUGUAAAAUCCUUUUGAAACUGAAGAAUAAGCGUUGUAGGGAAUGACAGCGUGGUGACAGUAGGUUUUGAAUAAGCAACGGCUAAUUACGUGCCAGCCGCAGC